rnacentral:tRNA from 1 species
GGCCCCGUCGUCCAGUGGCCUAGGACGCCGGCCUCUCAAGCCGGAAACGGGGGUUCAAAUCCCCUCGGGGCUGCCA